UACGGGGGGGGCAAGCGUUUGUUCGGAAUUACUGGGCGUAAAGGGCGCGUAGGCGGCUCGUUAAGUCGGCUGUGAAAGCCCGGGGCUCAACCCCGGAGGGUCAGCCGAUACUGGCGAGCUAGAGUACGGAAGAGGUAGCUGGAAUUCCCGGUGUAGCGGUGAAAUGCGUAGAUAAUCGGGAGGAACACCUGAGGCGAAGGCGGGCUACUGGGCCGAUACUGACGCUGAUGCGCGAAAGCCAGGGGAGCGAACGGG
rnacentral:rRNA from 1 species